rnacentral:lncRNA from 1 species
AGGCACCAGGAUUCUGACCCUCAGGGGCCCUGUGGGCACCUCAGGAAGGAUCACAAGCACUGUCACCAAGGGCUAGGAUAUGUCACAGAACAGUCCAGAACACUGGAGGUGACAACUUAGGGUGAAACUCAAUGCAACACUGAUGCAGGCAUCAGAGGCCUCCACGGAGUCUGAGCCAACAGCCGCAGACCAGGAGCCAUGAGAAUGAGGCCCCUGUGCGGGACAGGAAGUGGCAAGUAUCCAUGUGUCCUGUGAAGAUACUCAGGAAUGCCUAAGGCCAACUCCGUGGUUGAGUGCCUCAUUCACACUCUUGUUGUUGUGGCUCUGGACUGACCGCAGGUAAGGCUUCACCAGGGGCAGCUGACCUGCCUGACAAGUUGAGGGAACCGUCAAGGCACUUGGCCAAGCUUGUUAUGGGGACACUAGGCAGGGGCACAGGUGGGCACGUGCGUGCCAUCCACUUGAAUGGUCCAGCUCUGGAGCCAAGGGCACCUUCUGGACACCUAGAACCAAAAGACCUACACUCACACAAAGAGGACUGUCUGGGCGAUUCAGUGGAUGCCAAUGUCACCACAGACAUUCACACCUUAGAGAGACACAUGGGUUUGGGUCCAGACCACCACAAUAAAGUGAACAUUGCAAUAAAGUGAGUCAUAUUAAUUCAUGUUUACACUAUGUUGUAGCCUAAGUGUGUAACAGCAUUAUGUCUACAAAAACACAGUACACACCUUAAUUAAAAAUAUUUUAGUGCUAAAGAAUGCUAACAAUCAUCUGAGCCUUCAGUGACUCGUAAUCUUUUUGCUGGGGAGGGUCUUGCCUCAAUGUUGAUGGCUGCUGAUUCAUACAAGUGGUGGCUGUUGAAGGCUGGAGAGGCUGUGGCAAUUUCUUUUUCUUUUUUUUUUUUUUUUGAGAUGGAGUCUUGCUCGUCGCCCACACUGGAGUGCAGUGCCGUGAUCUCGGCUCACUGCAUCCUCUGCCUCCCAGGUUCAAGCAAUCAAUUCUCCUGCCUCAGCCUCCUGAAUAGCUGGGACCAGGCGCUUGCCACCACGCCUGGCUAAUUUUUGUAUUUUUAGUAGAGACAGGGUUUCACCAUAUUGGUCAGGCUAAGUCUCGAACUCCUGAACUCAGGUGAUCUGCCCACCUCUGCCUGCCAAAGUGCUAGGAUUACAGGCAUGAGCCACUGCGCCCAGCCGGCAAUUUCUUUCCUUCUUUUUUUUGGGGCGGGAGACGGAGUGCAGUGGCGCGAUCUUGGCUCACUGCAAUCUCUGCCUCCUGGGUUCAAGCGAUUCUCCUGCCUCAGCCUCCUGAGUAUCUGGGAUUACAGGUGCGCGCCCACCACACCUGGCUAAUUUUUGUAUUUUUAGUAGAGACAGAGUUUCACCACGUUGGUCAGGCUGGUCUCGACCUCCUGACCUCAUGAUCCACACGCCUUGGCCUCCCAAAGUGCUGGGAUUACAGGCGUGAGCCACCGCGCUCGGCUGGCAAUUUCUUAAAAUAAGACAUCAAUGAGGUUUGCCUCACUGACUGACUCUUCCCUUUAUGUAAGACCACUCUGGACUUGUGUUGCAUAAAACAAAAUAAACUAAACAAACAAAAAGACUCUGUGCAGCAUGCAAUGCUCUUUGAUAGCACUGUACUCACAGUAGAACAUUUUUCAAAAUUGGUCUCAGUCCUCUCCAACCUUGCUGCCACUUUAUCAACCAGGUUUAUGCACUAUUCUAAAUCCCCUGUAGUCAUUUCAACAAUGUUCACAGCAUCUGCCCCAGCAGUAGAUUCUAUCUUAAGAAACCACUUUCUUUGCUCAUCCCUAAGAAGCAGCUCCUCAUCUGUUCAAGUUGGAUCCUAAGAUUGCAGCAAUUCAGCCCCUUCUUCA